GACGAACGCUGGCGGCGUGCUUAACACAUGCAAGUCGAACGGAAAGGCCCUGCUUUUGUGGGGUGCUCGAGUGGCGAACGGGUGAGUAACACGUGAGUAACCUGCCCUUGACUUUGGGAUAACUUCAGGAAACUGGGGCUAAUACCGGAUAGGAGCUCCUGCUGCAUGGUGGGGGUUGGAAAGUUUCGGCGGUUGGGGAUGGACUCGCGGCUUAUCAGCUUGUUGGUGGGGUAGCGGCUUACCAAGGCUUUGACGGGUAGCCGGCCUGAGAGGGUGACCGGCCACAAUGGGACUGCGAUACGGCGCAGACUCCUACGGGAGGCAGCAGUGGGGAAUAUUGCACAAUGGGCGGAAGCCUGAUGCAGCAACGCCGCGUGCGGGAUGACGGGCUUCGGGUUGUAAACCGCUUUCGCCUGUGACGAAGCGUGAGUGACGGUAAUGGGUAAAGAAGCACCGGCUAACUACGUG
rnacentral:rRNA from 1 species